AUGAGAACCUCCGGGGGCAAGAGGUUCGACUCGAGCGCAGCGAGAGAACGUUGCGUCAGCAACGGCCCGCAGGGCGAGCCACGCAGUGGCGAGUCAUCCUCUAUCACCGACCA
rnacentral:sRNA from 3 species